rnacentral:rRNA from 1 species
CUUUGCCUACGGGACGCAGCAGUGGGGAAUAUUGCACAAUGGGGGAAACCCUGAUGCAGCGACGCCGCGUGAGCGAAGAAGUAUUUCGGUAUGUAAAGCUCUCUCAGCAGGGAAGAAAAAUGACGGUACCUGAGUAAGAAGCACCGGCUAAAUACGUGCCAGCAGCCGCGGUAAUACGUAUGGUGCAAGCGUUAUCCGGAUUUACUGGGUGUAAAGGGAGCGCAGGCGGUGCGGCAAGUCUGAUGUGAAAGCCCGGGGCUCAACCCCGGGACUGCAUUGGAAACCAACGAACUAGAGUGU